rnacentral:rRNA from 1 species
GAUGAACGCUGGCGUCGUGCCUAAUACAUGCAAGUCGAGCGAACGGACGAGAAGCUUGCUUUUCUGAUGUUAGCGGCGGACGGGUGAGUAACACGUGGAUAACCUACCUAUAAGACUGGGAUAACUUCGGGAAACCGGAGCUAAUACCGGAUAAUAUUUUGAACCGCAUGGUUCAAAAGUGAAAGACGGUCUUGCUGUCACUUAUAGAUGGAUCCGCGCUGCAUUAGCUAGUUGGUAAGGUAACGGCUUACCAAGGCAACGAUGCAUAGCCGACCUGAGAGGGUGAUCGGCCACACUGGAACUGAGACACGGUCCAGACUCCUACGGGAGGCAGCAGUAGGGAAUCUUCCGCAAUGGGCGAAAGCCUGACGGAGCAACGCCGCGUGAGUGAUGAAGGUCUUCGGAUCGUAAAACUCUGUUAUUAGGGAAGAACAUAUGUGUAAGUAACUGUGCACGUCUUGACGGUACCUAAUCAGAAAGCCACGGCUAACUACGUG